CGCCCGGGCUUCGGCCUGGUUAUUCAUAACCCUUUGUUGUCCGACUCUGUUGCCUCCGGGGCGACCCUGCCUUCGGGCGGGGGCUCCGGGUGGACACUUCAAACUCUUGCGUAACUUUGCAGUCUGAGUAAACUUAAUUAAUAAAUUAAAACUUUUAACAACGGAUCUCUUGGUUCUGGCAUCGAUGAAGAACGCAGCGAAAUGCGAUAAGUAAUGUGAAUUGCAGAAUUCAGUGAAUCAUCGAAUCUUUGAACGCACAUUGCGCCCCCUGGUAUUCCGGGGGGCAUGCCUGUUCGAGCGUCAUUUCACCACUCAAGCCUCGCUUGGUAUUGGGCAACGCGGUCCGCCGCGUGCCUCAAAUCGUCCGGCUGGGUCUUCUGUCCCCUAAGCGUUGUGGAAACUAUUCGCUAAAGGGUGUUCGGGAGGCUACGCCGUAAAACAACCCCAUUUCUAAGGUUGACCUCGGAUCAGGUAGGGAUACCCGCUGAACUUAAGCAUAUCAAUAAGCGGAGGAAAAGAAACCAACAGGGAUUGCUCUAGUAACGGCGAGUGAAGCAGCAAUAGCUCAAAUUUGAAAUCUGGCGUCUUCGACGUCCGAGUUGUAAUUUGUAGAGGAUGCUUCUGAGUGGCCACCGACCUAAGUUCCUUGGAACAGGACGUCAUAGAGGGUGAGAAUCCCGUAUGCGGUCGGAAAGGCGCUCUAUACGUAGCUCCUUCGACGAGUCGAGUUGUUUGGGAAUGCAGCUCUAAAUGGGAGGUAAAUUUCUUCUAAAGCUAAAUAUUGGCCAGAGACCGAUAGCGCACAAGUAGAGUGAUCGAAAGAUGAAAAGCACUUUGGAAAGAGAGUUAAAAAGCACGUGAAAUUGUUAAAAGGGAAGGGAUUGCAACCAGACUUGCUCGCGGUGUUCCGCCGGUCUUCUGACCGGUCUACUCGCCGCGUUGCAGGCCAGCAUCGUCUGGUGCCGCUGGAUAAGACUUGAGGAAUGUAGCUCCCUCGGGAGUGUUAUAGCCUCUUGUGAUGCAGCGAGCGCCGGGCGAGGUCCGCGC
rnacentral:rRNA from 1 species